AUAAACCUAAUAAUAAUAAAAUUCUUAAACAAUAAAAGCUCUUUAAAUUUCUUAAUUCUAUAGUAAUUAAAAUUCUUAAAUGAAAUUCUAAACUUCCUAUUAUGCAUUAGUCAUAGGCAUGAAAAUGCCGUCAUAGGUAAUCUGGAGAUCUGAACUUGGAGCUUCAUAUGGAAAUCUCAGGUCCAAGGUCACGGUGCCUUUUCAAACUUUGUUUAGGGAAUUCUGGAGAUUUUGACAUGUAGAUGUGGAGACGUGGGUUUAGAUACAGAAUGGAGAUCUAGACUUGGACUUAGAUACAGAGAGGAAGAUGGAAUUAUGGAACAAAAGUGGCUUAGGGCUCUGAGGGAGAAAGGGAGGAAGAGAGGUGAGAGCAUAUGAGCAUGCCUCUGGAUAUGAAUGAAUGAUCGAGGGGUAGGGAUGAGGCGUGAGUGGAUUGAAGACUGGAAUUAGAGAGUUUAUAUACAAAUAAUAAAAAG
rnacentral:misc_RNA from 1 species